GGAGAGAUGCCGGAGUGGUCGAACGGGGCGGUCUCGAAAACCGUUGAUCCUUUUUGGAUCCCAGGGUUCGAAUCCCUGUCUCUCCG
rnacentral:tRNA from 1 species